rnacentral:tRNA from 1 species
CGGGGUGUGGCUUAGCUUGGUUUAGAGCGCCUGGUUUGGGACCAGGAAGUCGGGAGUUCGAAUCUCCCCACCCCGA